CCCUCCUUACCACCAUUAUCCACAAACCCUUGCAGGAAACAAUUUCAAUACUCAAAUACUCCCUCCAACCCAUUUUGUUAGGCCUAUUUAAAAAAUCCAACUUUUUAAAGGAAUAUCAUUUAAUGCAUUGUCUUUUAUAUAAAAAAGUACAAGUUUUCAAAACUACCCUCCGUAAUUUAAAAGUUUAGUGAAAAGGGGGGGUAUUGAAUUUUUAAAUAAAGUGAAGGAUAUGUUAGGAAAUUUAUUUGUUGACUUUUCAAAGAGGACUUUAUUUUGGGACAUCCCAAAAUGGAAUGGAGGAAAAAUAAUUUGGGUUUGAGAGAGUAGAUUUGUAAGGAAAAUCUUGAAAAAUGUUAAAAA